rnacentral:tRNA from 1 species
GCCCUUGUAGCUCAGUGGUAGAGCAACGGUUUUGUAAACCGUUGGUCGCUGGUUCAAAUCCAGUCGGGGGCU